rnacentral:rRNA from 1 species
GUGGACGAACCUCUGGUGUUCCGGUUGUCACGCCAGUGGCAUUGCCGGGUAGCUAUGUUCGGAAAAGAUAACCGCUGAAAGCAUCUAAGCGGGAAACUUGCCUCAAGAUGAGAUCUCACUGGGAACUUGAUUCCCCUGAAGGGCCGUCGAAGACUACGACGUUGAUAGGCUGGGUGUGUAAGCGUUGUGAGGCGUUGAGCUAACCAGUACUAAUUGCCCGUGAGGCUUGACCAU